CCUACGGGAGGCAGCAGUGGGGGAUAUUGCACAAUGGGGGGAACCCUGAUGCAGCGACGCCGCGUGGGUGAAGAAGCGCCUCGGCGCGUAAAGCCCUGUCAGCAGGGAAGAAAAUUACGGUACCUGAAGAAGAAGCCCCGGCUAAAUACGUGCCAGCAGCCGCGGUAAUACGUAGGGGGCAAGCGUUAUCCGGAUUUACUGGGUGGAAAGGGGGCGCAGACGGCGAUGCAAGCCAGGAGUGAAAGCCCGGGGCCCAACCCCGGGACUGCUCUUGAAACUGCGAGGCUGGAGUGCAGGAGAGGCAGGCGGAAUUCCUGGUGUAGCGGUGAAAUGCGUAGAUAUCAAGAGGAACACCGGUGGCGAAGGCGGCCUGCUGGACUGCAACUGACGUUGAGGCCCGAAAGCGUGGGGAGCAAACAGGAUUAGAUACCCUUGUAGUC
rnacentral:rRNA from 1 species